rnacentral:sRNA from 2 species
GAAACGAACACAGCAAUUCAGGAGCGAGGACGGGGGACCCACCAUCUCCCCGUGAGACCCGGCGGACGAGCAAUCGACCGCCUUGGGGUUAAGUCCGCGGCUAGGCACACGCCGAACCCGCCGGCCGGGCACCUCUCGCCCGAACCCGACAGCUCACCUCGUAGGCGCGUGGAGAGAGGAAAA